GGAGAAUUAGCUCAGCUGGGAGAGCAUCUGCCUUACAAGCAGAGGGUCGGCGGUUCGAACCCAUCAUUCUCCACCA
rnacentral:tRNA from 1 species